CUGAAUGCAUAGAGUUAAAUCAUCGGAAGUGGCAACAAGGUUGUUAAAGAACUAAGCAGUGAUGGUAGAACAAUGACACAGAUAAGGCAGCCUCAGGUAUAUAACUUCAAAGACUUUUAGAUAUGAGCGUCUGCUAGGCUAUUGGGAGAAAAACUGACUCUGUGUAGGCUGGAAUGGGGUAGUCUUCCUAGGGCUAUGCCUGGUUAGCAGAGAUCUGAAACUUCAAAUGCUUUAGAAAAGGAGAGGGGGCAUGAAUAGAUUAGGAAAGGCUAUGGGGAUGAAUCGAUGAAAAACUGACAGACGACAAGAGAUAUGGGAAACACCAGGUAUGGUGAGCUGAGUAAGUUUUUUUUAUUUUGUUUUUCCUUGUUUUGUUUUGUUUUACCUUCAGGAAUGAGGUUAGUUCAAUUCAGGGGAAUAUACAAAGAAUCAAAGCUUUCACACAGUUCUGUAGAUGUUCCUGCCUUUCAGGAAUUCAUGUUCUGCUUCUUGUUUUGCAGGUGUGACCACUGUGUCGUCAUAUAGAUACAAAUCUGCAGGCAUAUUUGUGAAAAUAGUCAUGACCAACAUCUUAUUGUCACUCAUGUAAAGCCUGGGGAAGGGUAAGCUGUGGAAUCCCACCCAGGAGAGAAGGAAUUAAGGUCUAGCAACUUUGAGAGUUCAGGCUCAAAAAAAGGCAGACUGUAGCCUGGCGAGAUGAUGAUAGAUGACUUGGAUUGUGUCUGUUUCAACCAAUGUGACCUUGUACAGAAGUUGUCCUUGUUGGCUAGCCAGGGAGAACGGUGAUGGAACAUAACUUUUGCAAACAGUACAGUAAACGCUGGCAAUCAAGUCAGGUGGUCUUAGUACACACUCAGCAAGAAUAGCACCAUCAUGUCUUAGUGAUACCACACCCCAGUGAUUUUGAGAGAAAACAUCUAUUGUGUGAGGUAUGCAAGUAAAUAAAGCCACCUCAUGAAAGAAAUGAAUUAAAACAUCACUUUGUUACAGGUUGGCUACUAACAACUAUCUCUCAAGUUUGUGCUAACUUUCCCCUUUUCCCCUUGAGCUGAUCUAUAAUGAUAACAUCAUGUGUCAGGAGAGAGCCCUUUAGAGGACAGUUCUUGAUCUAGACCUAAUUGAGGAAAAAUAGAGAUUCCACAUUAUUCCUGUGGGGAUGAUAUAGACAGAGCUAUUUUCCCCUUUUUCCGUGAGCAUUUGUAUGAAUUAUGCAGUAAGAAAAAAGAGAAAAAAAUGGUUAGCAACUUCACAUUUAUAUAUCCUGUUGUCUAAACAUCUAAGCAUAGUUGUGGCCUUGCUCUCCAGUUUAUGGAAGACUUUGGUCACCAUGUCCGUCAUGUUAGAGACUUCUCUUAUCAGAUCAGCAUGGUCCUCCAGACAUGUUUUGUUCAAUAAAAGACAGUGGCUGUGGUUGCUUCUGCUUUUUAUUAUUUUUAUUAAUUUAACCUGGACAGUCAGAGAUUGUCUGUGGAGGCUAAAAAGCUGCUAGGAGGUGAUUAAUAGAUGCCUUGCAACAGAAUGAUGGCUGUUCUCACAGUCCAUGUUUCAAUCUGCAGUUGUCUGCUUUGUCUUUUUGCUGUAUUGCUUCCUUGCAUAAGCUAAUUGCCUUUUCUCUUAGUAGCAACUUAUGCAUAUUCUUUUUGUUUCGUUUUGAAAUAUGAACUGGAGAGAAGAAA